rnacentral:rRNA from 1 species
CCUACGGGUGGCAGCAGUGAGGAAUAUUGGUCAAUGGCCGGAAGGCUGAACCAGCCAUGCCGCGUGAAGGUCAGUGCCCUAUGGGCGUUAAACUUCUUUUGUGCGGGAGCAAUAAUGGUCACGUGUGGCCAGACGAGAGUACCGUACGAAUAAGCAUCGGCUAACUCCGUGCCAGCAGCCGCGGUAAUACGGGGGAUGCAAGCGUUUUCCGGAUUUAUUGGGUUUAAAGGGUGCGUAGGCUGGGAGGUAAGUCAGCGGUGAAAUGCCCCCGCUCAACGGGGUGAAGUGCCAUUGAUACUGCCUGGCUGGAAUGCGGAUGCCGUGGGAGGAAUGUGUGGUGUAGCGGUGAAAUGCAUAGAUAUCACACAGAACACCGAUUGCGAAGGCAUCUCACGAAUCCGCGAUUGACGCUGAUGCACGAAAGCGUGGGUAUCAAACAGGAUUAGAUACCCCAGUAGUC